rnacentral:rRNA from 1 species
GCCCCAGAAAAAAUCUGAGGUGUAACCUGCCCAGUGGUUUUUAAUAAGUAGAAAUAAUAAUUCUUAAAAAAAACUAAAAGGACGCGGUAACCUUGACCGUGAUAAUGUAGCAUAAUCACUCGCCAUUUAAUUGAUGGAUAGUAUGAAUGGUUGAACGAAUAUUCCCCUGUCUUAGACAAAAUAAUAAAAAAUUGAAAUAAUAGUUAAGAUGCUAUUUUUUACUGUAAGACGAAAAGACCCUAUAGAGCUUAACUAUAACCUUUUUAUAUAAAAAGAAAAUAAAUUCUAUACUUAAAAAGGUUGGUAGUUUAGUUGGGGCGACUGUCUUCUAUAUUGAACGAAGACAAGCAAUGUUAAUAAAAAACUUAUUGUAUAACAAAAAUGUUUAACAAUUAUAAAAAUAGGCUAUAAUGACCCGUUAAUACUUAAUAAAAAGAAUAACGAUUAAUUAAUAAAAGCUACCUUAGGGAUAACAGGAUUAUUUCAUUUCAGAGUUCAUAUCAAAAAUGAAGUUUGUCACCUCUAUGUUGAAUUAAGAUAUCCUGAUAAUGCAGAAGUUAUCAAAGGUAGGUCUGUUCGACCUUUAAAAUCUU